GAGUUUGAUCUUGGCUCAGAUUGAACGCUGGCGGCAUGCCUUACACAUGCAAGUCGAACGGCAGCACGGGAGCUUGCUCCUGGUGGCGAGUGGCGAACGGGUGAGUAAUGCAUCGGAACGUAUCCUGGAGUGGGGGAUAACGUAGCGAAAGUUACGCUAAUACCGCAUAUUCUGUGAGCAGGAAAGCGGGGGACCUUCGGGCCUCGCGCUCUUGGAGCGGCCGAUGUCGGAUUAGCUAGUUGGUGAGGUAAAGGCUCACCAAGGCGACGAUCCGUAGCAGGUCUGAGAGGAUGAUCUGCCACACUGGAACUGAGACAUGGUCCAGACUCCUACGGGAGGCAGCAGUGGGGAAUUUUGGACAAUGGGGGCAACCCUGAUCCAGCCAUGCCGCGUGAGUGAAGAAGGCCUCGGUGUAAG
rnacentral:rRNA from 1 species